rnacentral:misc_RNA from 1 species
AAAUGAUCAUCAAUCUGUUGAAACAUUCCUUCAGUUUGAGAAGUCCAGUCUCAGUUCUCCAUUUACUCAGUACUGCAGAAGUGUACUUGACAAGGCUGAUCUGAGGGGCUCACAUAAGAACGAAAAGAUUAGUUUGCCAACACGAGAUAAAUCAAAGCGUAAAAGAGAUGACAGUUCGAUUAACGUUUUUGGCCACAAGGAUGUGGAUACUGUUAAUGGAUCAAAGAAGCGGGUCAAAAGAUGAGCUCCGAAAGCAUAAUUGUCGUACCAUUUUUUUGUUUGCUAUAGGUUUUGAUAAUUUUCUGAUUGGCCUUACCAGUUUGGAAAUUUUGAGCUGGGUAAACAUGUGAUAAUUCUUUAGGUUGGUAAAAAUUCAAUCUUCUUGUUGCUUAUUUUUCAAAACAGAAAAUAGAAAAAUGAUUUUGUUCCUA